rnacentral:rRNA from 1 species
CCUGGUUGAUCCUGCCAGUAGUCAUAUGCUUGUCUCAAAGAUUGAGCCAUGCAUGUCUCAGUGCGAGUCAAAUUAAGGUGAAACCGCGAAUGGCUCAUUAAAUCAGUUAUGGUUUCUUAGAUCGUACACACAUUUACUUGGAUAACUGUGGUAAUUCUUGAGCUGAUACAUGCAAACAGAUUUCCGACCAGAGAUGGAAGGAAUGCUUUYAUUAGAUCAAAACCAAUCGGCGGCGGGUACGUCCCGUCCGCCGUUUACCUUGGUGACUCUGAAUAACUUUGGGCUGAUCGCACGGUCUCGUACCGGCGACGCUUCUUUCAAAUGUYUGCCUUAUCAACUGUCGAUGGUAGGCUCUGCGCCUACCAUGGUUGUAACAAGUAACGGGGAAUCAGGGUUCGAUUCCGGAGAGGGAGCCUGAGAAACGGCUACCACAUCCAAGGAAGGCAGCAGGCGCGCAAAUUACCCACUCCCGGCACGGGGAGGUAGUGACGAAAAAUAACGAUACGGGACUCAUCCGAGGCCCCGUAAUCAUAAUGAGUACACUUCAAAUCCUUCAACGAGGAUCCAUUGGAGGGCAAGUCUGGUGCCAGYAGCCGCGGUAAUUCCAGCUCCAAUAGCGUAUAUUAAAGUUGUUGCGGUUAAAAAGCUCGUAGUUGAAUCUGUGUCCCACGCUGUCGGUGCACCGCUCACGGUGUUCAACUGCACGGAAAAAAAAAUUCAGCUCGUGGAACUAAAUAUUAGAUAGUUACUUGUAAACAGUUYGUCGAACUAAACGUUCUGUUAUUGGAAGAGCACUGCAUGGUUCGUAUAACUGACUGUUAGUCAGCUGUCAUAGCUGUACGUUGUUCAGCUCUCUSAGCUAAACAGCUUCGUUCGAAGAGCUAGACCAGAAUUUUUCGGCUCCGCUCACAGCGCUUAUUAAUGAAUAGUACAAUUAUAUUGCUAUUCGUAUUAUUUUUCAUCAUUAUUAUCAUUAUUUAUUCAGUGUCAUUUACAUAUUUGAAUGGACUAUUUAAACAAUUAUCUAUCAACUGUAUUUGAAUCAUACUAAUGAAAUUUGAAGGUUAUGAAAUAUGUCAACGCACCAGAGCACAGCGCAACUUACUCUUAGAGCAAAACCAUUCGGCUGUGAGAGCUGAACAACUUGCAGCUACCAGAGCUGACUAAUAUAUAGUUGCUGUAACUACAAGAUAGACCGUAGAGUGCGUAUAGUUACUGGAGCUGUAGAAUACAGCUCG